CCCCGGGGAGCCAGCCCACGGAUGGUCCGAAGGCUCCCCUGGAUGUUGGGGUGGACGUCAGGCUGGCUGAUUCCCGGAAGAGGAGGAGGAGGAAGAAACAAGCAGAGGAAGCACAGCCUCUCCUUACCAAAGACCACGUGGUGGAGCAGGAAGACUUUUGCAGAGGAAAAGGGCUGCCCCCCCCAAAAAAAAUCAAAGAAAGAAAAAAAGGCUAAAAACAUCUUUUUGGAACACAUAAAAGAAAACAAGAGGAAAACCAGGAGGCCCAGAUAAAUCAAGCUUUCAGUGCCAGGGAAGCAAGUCUCAAGACUGACUACCUUUCUUACUUCUAACUCUACCCAUCUUCACAACCUCUCAGUGCCCCGUCUAUGAAAUGAUAAAAUGAGGAGCCUGGUUUGUAUUUGGGAGUUUUCUCCAUGGUGCCAUGACUUUCUUUAUUUUCAACAUUAUAGGCUCUGGGAAAGGCUCCCCUAAAGCCUUGGUGCCAUAGGGCCCCUGGAGGUUCCCCAGCUGCCUCCAACCUCAUUGGGACCUGGGCUGAGCCUGGCUUCUGAUUCAGCCUUCUGCCAGCAUGAAUAUGAAACCCAUUAACCUUUCCAGCCAAUUACUGAAAUAACUCCAUAGGCUUCUAUUUUUAAAAAUUAUUAUUUCACAUUCCUUAUUCCUCUAGAGUGCUGGGAAAGGAGCCCUGCCUGCCAGGGGUCCUCUGUGGGAGCCAGAAAGUUCUCGAAAGCCCAAGAGUCCUUGGCUGUGGGCCUGACCUCUCCCAUUAGCUGGGGCCUACCCUGUUAGCAGGGAUCUAGUCAUCCCAGUGCAAUCCCCUUCUCUUACCACCAGUUGGUUGAGAUUAAUCAGAGGGAAGGGAAUCAUUGUUUUCUGAUUGUUGGAUCAAGGAUUUUUUUUAAAAAAGUGAAGGAAAGAGCCCAAGUUGGCCAAAUGUCAGUCCUCAAAUAUUGGUGUUUUGCUAGUUUUGUUUCCAAGUCCAAGCCUAAUGGACUCAUCACAAGUUUUAACAUAGUUUCCUGAUAUUUGUUUAGUGCUUCCAAGAGAGUUGGGGGAGGGGACCCUUCAUUAAUUGGGUGUGUAAAAUCUUCUGUAAACACAUGUGAAUUUGAUGGUGGUGGUUUCCCCUGCUGUCAUCAGAAUGUCAUCAAUUCUGUAUUGAAUGGAGUAACCUCGUGAACUCGGCAACUUUUCUGGGCAGCAAAUAUGGAACAUAUGUCAGCUAGGAUGGAAGCCAUCCCAUGAGCCAGCCUCAGAGUUAAACAAGACCCUGGAGGUCAUCUAGUCAGCUAGUCAACAAACAUUUGGCAAGUUUUCACUUCUUGCCAAGCACUACCUAGGAAGAUUAAAAAAAAAACAAAACAAAAACCAUAGACCCUGCCCUUGAGGGGCUCACAUUCUAAUAUUGGGGUGGAGGAGAGGAAAAUGAAGCCCAGAGGAAGUCAGCCCUUGGCCCAAAGCCAGAGACUGUUUACAGAGGUUGUCUAAAACCAGAACCUUUCCUCUGUAUACCUGUAUUCUCACGCUAUAGUUUCCUAGAACCUGGUGGCUCUGAAUUGUCACCUAGAACUGUUAAGUGGUAAUCACCCCAUACAGCAAUGUGAACCAGGCCUCCAUAAAUAAAAAUAAUUAAAUAUUU